UGGGGAAUCUUGCGCAAUGGUCGAAAGACUGACGCAGCGACGCCGCGUGUGGGAUGAAGCAUUUCGGUGUGUAAACCACUGUUGCCCGGGACGAAACCGCUUUUUCGAGAGCGUUGACGGUACCGGGUGAGGAAGCACCGGCUAACUCCGUGCCAGCAGCCGCGGUAAUACGGAGGGUGCGAGCGUUGUCCGGAAUCACUGGGCGUAAAGGGCGCGUAGGCGGCGCGGGAAGUCCGUGGUGAAAGCCCGAGGCUCAACUUCGGGUCGGCCAUGGAUACUCCUGGGCUCGAGCACUGUAGAGGCAGGUGGAAUUCCGGGUGUAGCGGUGGAAUGCGUAGAGAUCCGGAAGAACACCGGUGGCGAAGGCGGCCUGCUGGGCAGUAGCUGACGCUGAGGCGCGACAGCGUGGGGAGCAAACAGGAUUAGAUACCCCCGUAGUCC
rnacentral:rRNA from 1 species